rnacentral:rRNA from 1 species
UACGUAGGGUGCAAGCGUUUGUCCGGAAUUAUUGGGCGUAAAGAGCUCGUAGGCGGUCUGUCGCGUCUGCUGUGAAAAUCCGGGGCUCAACCCCGGACUUGCAGUGGGUACGGGGCAGACUAGAGUGUGGUAGGGGAGACUGGAAUUCCUGGUGUAGCGGUGAAAUGCGCAGAUAUCAGGAGGAACACCGAUGGCGAAGGCAGGUCUCUGGGCCACUACUGACGUGAGAAGCGAAAGCAUGGGGAGCGAACAGG